rnacentral:lncRNA from 1 species
CCUUCUGAAAUGAUGGAGGAAGUUCUGCUGAGGAUGGGGUCAGGGUAACAGCAGACUUCUGAAUAACUCUGCACCCCCAGAAACCUGCAAAGGACACAGGCCCUCUUGGUGGUCUCCUCCUGGAUGCCUUGCUUUCUCCUGGAAGAGUCCUCCCUUCCACCCCGGAUAUCACUGUGAACCUGAUUCCCCAGGAUCAACCAUCUGAGCAGAUACCUUGGAAUGUCCCCAGAUUUCAGAGAAUUCCAAAGAAGAUAGAAAUGGAGUUAGGAAGGAGAUUUUUGCCCUCCUGGCUCUUGUCUUCCUUCUCCACUUCAAGGUAUGUUGUGCUACUGUGUGAAUCCACAGGGAGGAAUCAGACUUUCUUUUUGAUAAAGACAGAGCAAGACCUUUGUGUUUUAGAUCUACAAUGCCUUAGAGAGUAGCUAGAUCAAUGGUUAUCAAAUUGCCCGAGGAAGCCCCACCUGGGGCCACACUUCAAGAGGCUGCUGUGGCCAAAGAUAAGGAUUUCAAAGACUCCUCCUGCUCUUACUCCACUCCUUCCAUGCUCACCUUCCUUCAAUUAAAGCACUUGCCUUUACCUGUUUUUAUGUUGAAGUGCCACAUAAGAUGUUGGCAUUUGAAAUGAUGUUCUGUUGUUUAAUAUGUAAUAGCUCCCCAUGUAAAAAGGAGGGGAGGCAAGUCCUUUGAGCUAGAUGCCUUGAAGGAAGAAGAGUCUGUACUGAGUCAGGUGCCCCAGUGUGGGAAGGAAGGAGAUAAGUCAUUACCAAGGGGACAAAGGAAAGCAGAGAAGAGAAAUGGGUCUCCUUAGGGUCACCAUUUCCCUUCAGAGCCCCUGUGAAGGAGGGUCAUAUACAUAAACUAUAUACGAUGUACAUAGUUUAAUAUGCAUGUACAUACAAACAUACGCACAUACACUCAAAACCACUAAUCCAUUCCAACCUUCACCAUUAUGAGCCUGAGGAGCCUGGAUUGAGACAGAUAAAGUGACUUGCCUCAUGUUGAGACUACAUGAAAGGUGUUACUAUCACUUAGUAAAUCUCUUUUAUUGGUGGGUCAGAGGCCAGGCUGUUGUAAACCCACAGAGGAAAGCCUUGCAAUUUUCCAGUAACUGGAAUUGUUUUAUCUGAAAAUAUUUCCUGGAGUCAUGGAUUCUUAGGGCAGGGGUGUGGAACUGAGGAAGGAGGGGGUGUUUCUUGAGGAGGAAAGAUCCUUUGUUCAUCCUCCUGCCUCAAUACGAAUAAAGUAACUGCUGAAAAGAGGGCUAUCAGGAAGGAGAGGAUAACUCAUAAAUCUUUACAUUUUAAAAAAUAGCUUUAGAGGCCGGGCUCGGUGGCUCAGGCCUAUAAUCCCAGCACUUUGGGAAGCCGAGGUGGGCGGAUCACCUGAGGUCAGGAAUUCGAGACCAGCCUGGCCAACACGGUGAAACCCCUCUCUACUAAAAAUACAAAAAAAAUUAGCCAGGCAUGGUGGCGGGCACCUGUAAUCCCAGCUACUCGGGAGGCUGAGGCAGGAGAAUCGCUUGAACCCUGGAGGCGGAGGUUGCAGUGAGCAGAGAUCAUGCUAUUGCACUCCAGCCUGGAGGACAAGAGUGCGAGACUCUGUCUCAACAAAAAAAAAAAAAAAAAAAAAAAAAAAAAAAGCUUUAGAAAUUCUGAUUCCUCAGAGCUCCAGUGGACACAGAGAUGUCUGCCCUUUGCCCUCUUUUGUUCUCCCUUGCUUUUGUGAGCGUAUAUGUGUUUUCUCAUUCUGUCUUUCUGAGUAUGCUUUUUGUCUGCCUGUCUUUUGGUUUCCUUUCAUAUUUAUUAUAUUUCAUUUGAAGUGAAAGGACAGGGCCGGGAGUCAUGCCUCCCCAGGCGUGAGGCGUGUGUGGGCUGUAUCCCAGAGGAGAUUUUCUUUGCCAAUUGUGGAAUGAAGACUGUAUCAAAGUUCAGAGGAUCCGCCAACACAGAAGAGAGAAACACCAGAUGCUUGGGGCCUCUAAGCAGAAGGAGCAACCCACCAAUCCCAAGAUACCUGCUUGGCAACGUAAUGUGCUGUGCAAUGUGCGGCAAGUUGUGAAGAGCCAGCAUCUACUUCUGGAAGCUGUCCAUCUGAAGUUUCUGAAAAAAUUUUCAUCGGCACCUGUCAGAUGACUUGAUUUCUGAGUUAAGAGCUGCAUGAAGAUGUGCCUUCAAACCAGUCUUUGUACAUCACGUUCAGGUGUCACUGAGAAAAGUGAUGACUAACAUUUCUUGGACAUAUACCUGCUGGGUAUUAAUCUUUAUACUGGGCAUUUGCUGAUGAUAGUGGAACCUACGGGUGGCCUACUCAACUUCUAUUUCUCCAUUCUUCCAUUUUAGCUAACAGAACCUCAAUUUUGUUCAUCUAUUGUUUCCUUUUGAAACCCAGAGAAAGGUGACCCCAUUCCAAUUCCGAAAGUAAGUAUUGAUUAGUCUAAGCCAGUCAUGAUAUUUCCAUCUCCCUUGCCAAGGACUUGUUGAGGAAAGGUCAAAUAACAAAACACUGGCCAAUGAAGCAUGAAGGAAAGUUCUGGAAAAGAAAGAUUGUGUGAAAGAGACACAGAAAGAGAUGACCUUUCUCUCUGGUUUUUAUUUCUAGAUGAGAUUCCUGAAACUCUUACAGUUAUCUUGUUAUCAACCUAAGGAUGAAUGUAACACCUACGGGAGGGCGGAACCGAGUAUUCUCCCCUGGAGCCUGAGAUAUUUCUGGACUUCCUAGCAUGUGAUAUAAUAAUUUAUUAUUGUGUUAUAUCAUAUUAAGUUGGGGGCUCUGUUACCUGCAUCAGAAAUCUUCCUCAUAGCCAUAGGUUGGUUCAUUUAAUCUUCACUGCUGUCCAUGUGGUAUCUAUCUCCUUUUUAUAGGUUAAGAAAUGCAUUUAAGUUACUACAGCUAGUAAGCAGCAAAGCCCCAAAUUCAAUCCAGUUCUGAGUUUUAAAAAUCCCUAACAUGUGGCUGGGUGCGGUGGCUCAUGCCUGUAAUCCCAGCACUUUGGGAGGCUGAGGUGGGCAGAUCACAAGGUCAGGAGUUCGAGAUCAGCCUGGCCAACAUGGUGAAACUCCAUCUCUAUUAAAAAUACAAAAAUUAGCUGGGCGUGGUGGCAUGCACCUGUAGUCCCAGCUACUCUGGAGGCUGAGGCAGAAGAAUCACUUGAACCCAGGAGGCAGAGGUUGCAGUGAGCUGAGAUCGCACCACUGCAUUCCAGCCUGCGCGACAGAGCAGUACUCAGUCUUUAAAAAAAAAAAAAAUCCCUAACAUGUGUGCCUUAGUCCAUUUUAUGCUGCUAUAACAGAAUACCACAGGCUGAGUAAUUUGUAAUGAACAGAAAUGUAUUUGGCUUACAGUUCUAAAAGCUGGAAAGCCCAAGAUUCAGGGGCUGCAUCUGGUGAGGGCCUCCUUGCUGCAUCGUAACACAGCAGAAGACAUCACGUGAUGAGAAUGAGAGCUCAGACUGGCAGCAGCGAGUCUUUUCACAGUCAGCAUUAAUCCAUUCAUGAUGGUGGAGCCCUCAUGACCUAAACACCCACCAUCAGGCUCCACUCCACCUCCCAACACUGUUGCACUGGGAAUUCAGUUUCCAGCAUACGCUUUUUAGGGGACAUAUUCAAACCAUAGUGAUGUCUUCAUUUUAUAUCUGUAGGAGAGUCAUGAUUUUAUCUUUUUUUUUUUUUAGUUUUUUUUUUUUUUUUUUUUUUGAUAAGAGUCACUCUGUCACCCAGGAUAGAGUGCAGUGGCAUGAGUUCGGCUCAC